rnacentral:rRNA from 1 species
GGCAACAGCCAUAUCACCCUGUAGCCCAAGACCGGUUGCCCACUGAAGCUAAGCAGGGUUGAGCCUGGUCAGGAGACCUGGAUGGGAGACAACUAGGUGGCGCUGGAA